GAUGAACGCUGGCGGCGUGCCUAAUACAUGCAAGUCGAGCGAACAGAUGAGGAGCUUGCUCCUCUGACGUUAGCGGCGGACGGGUGAGUAACACGUGGAUAACCUACCUAUAAGACUGGGAUAACUUCGGGAAACCGGAGCUAAUACCGGAUAAUAUAUUGAACCGCAUGGUUCAAUAGUGAAAGACGGUUUUGCUGUCACUUAUAGAUGGAUCCGCGCCGCAUUAGCUAGUUGGUAAGGUAACGGCUUACAAAGGCAACGAUGCGUAGCCGACCUGAGAGGGUGAUCGGCCACACUGGAACUGAGACACGGUCCAGACUCCUACGGGAGGCAGCAAUAGGGAAUCUUCCGCAAUGGGCGAAAGCCUGACGGAGCAACGCCGCGUGAGUGAUGAAGGUCUUCGGAUCGUAAAACUCUGUUAUUAGGGAAGAACAAAUGUGUAAGUAACUAUGCACGUCUUGACGGUACCUAAUCAGAAAGCCACGGCUAACUACGU
rnacentral:rRNA from 1 species